rnacentral:rRNA from 2 species
GGAUGCGAUCAUAGCAGCACUAAAGCACCGGAUCCCAUCAGAACUCCGAAGUUAAGCGUGCUUGGCCGCGAUUGUACUAGGAUGGGUGACCUCCUGGGAAGUCCUCGUGUUGCAUUCC